ACUGGUACUGGUCAACAACAAAUGGAUCAAUGACGACAGAACCAGGACUACUACAAAUUUAACAGUUUCAACUGCAGGAACACCGACGACAGCAGGAGCACUGACGACAACAACUGCAAAACUGACACCAACAACAGGAACAAUGGCAACAGCAACACCAACAACAGGAUCCACCUCUGGUGUGCCAAGCAACCCAUCUGCAGGUGAUGAGAGUGGCAGACACUUUGAUGCUGCAUCUUUCAUUGGUGGCAUUGUUCUUUGUCUUGGACUUGGGGUCAUCGCUUUCAUUGGUCUUAAGUACUACCGUUCACGUUCUCAGCAGAAUUACCGCACUCUUUAAACAUUAUUCAAAUGCUGGCCAAAUAACCUGCUCCAGCUUGCUGCAUAGUGUUUUUUUUUUGGUUUUUUUUAAUGGGUUUUAGAAUACUUGUAAAAGUUAAAAGGAUUAAUUUUUUGGUAUAAUUCUAACACAAACCAUAAAUAAUUUUUUUCUGUAUAUCCUUUCAUUUCAAAGCACAUGAUAACAAGCAAGGAAAUAUACAUCCACACAUGUAUAUGUAUAUAUGUUUUUAUUAAAUCUUAAUGAAGUAUAUUUUGGGAUUAGGGGGUGCGGGGGUUAACAGCUUAAAUGCCAUUUAGAAUAAGUAAAACAUGAAAGAGGCUUUGGUCAUACUUGUUUAAACUUCCCAUGUGAAUAAUGUGGUUCACAGUUAUCUAACUCUUUUUAGAGCAAGCAUGGAAUGUUUUUUGGUAUUCAAAUGUUUCAGAUACAGAAGUCUCAAUAAUAAAUUACUUUUUAUAUAUUGGUGGAUUAUUUUUCCCACAGGAGACAUUUCUCAAGAUUUAAAUAAGCGGAAUCCAAAAAUUGUUGUGGAGUAACUGAGCGUUCCAAUAUUUAAUGGUAGCAUUUUUUUUUGUACUGCUGUAAAUGUUUUAUUGGCUUCUGUUUCACUGAAUUCUCAGAUUCAAUAACAGUUGAGGAGGAUGUAGGUGUAUUGAGGUGGUGUCUGGUGAUGAUUUUGGAAAAAAGGAUACUUUUUGUUAAUAAAAAUCUUUGACAAUCGGAAAACGCAGAGGAGCUGUGUACUAACGUGUUUCACUUGCCUUGACAUUUCCUACAAUUUUUGAAUUGUAUCUAGUUUUAAACCAAAUGUCUUUAUGUUUUCGCUUCUCAAGACUUAAGUUUUUUUUUUUUUUUAAUUUGUUUCAAUAUUGAGCCUACUUUUAUUCGGAAAAUUUUGUGUAUCAUUACUUGUCAUUGAUAAUCGGUUUCUGCUUCCUGUAAGCUUUAUCUUUAUUGGGAGCCUGUGCUCUGCAAGUUGAGGCUAAUCCAUCUCUGAUUCUUGAGUCUUUUAUUUCUUUGCUCAGUGUGUUAAGUACACUGCAUAAGAAGGCUGUGGUGUGGUAGCUGGUUGACUGUUGCAGCAUGCAUGAUUUGUGCAAUCCUAUGUCUGCAAAUCUAAGUCCACUUGCCUCGUAGGGAUCAUAAUGCAACAAUACAAAUUCUUGUUCGUGCUAUAACACUUCUUUAGUUAGAGGUAUGAGAUUUUUGUACAUAUCAGAGAAAGUCCACGUGAGUUCACACUGUUUCACUGCUUAUUUGUGACAGCAUUGGAAAGGAUAGGGAGAGAUCACAGGCUGGUGGUUUAUUCUUGUUAUACAUUUAAUAUUUUUGAUCCUUGAAAGGUCUGAUAAUGCACUUGUUUUUUUUUUCUCAUGAAAGAUCUGAUAGAUGAAAGUCUACAAGUGAUACGUUUUGUUUUGUUGUCGUUGUAUCAUAGGAAGUCUUUCAGGUAAAUUGCGAUGCCCCUCAGACUUCCUAAUUUUUACCUGCUCUUGUUAAAGGUGAACAGAAAGCUGGAAUAUUACUUUUCUACAAGUAACAGAUUUCCAUAAAAAGCCUGCAAAGUAUUUUCAGAGCAGUUAUCUUUAUGGUCUCUUAUGUUUUGAGAGAUCUGUUGUUUGCCUUAAAACUUAAACUGUAUAUUAAAUGUUUCCUAAAAACUAGUGCCUUAUAAUGAUGCUUGUUUGCUAUAUUUUCUCCUUGAAAUCUUUUCCUUUUUAUUUGAGUUCAAGAUGAAACUUUUACCAUAGGAUGGGAAAGAAUGGUUUGAGAUGGGUAUGUGGGAGGGAGGGGCAAGCAUGGGGGGAAGCAUUACUAAUUGCUUCCAUCUGGCCUGACAGUCACCUUUAUCUUCCUCCUAAAGGUUGUACCAUUCUUUCCUGCCAGACAUGGAAGUUUGGCCUUUAACUUAUCAAGUGUUAUGAUAAGAAUGUCCCUGGUUUUAUUGUUAGCUGUAUUAUUGUUAAUGCUUUGAAGGAGUUCUGGGCAAGCUUGGUGCUAAGAAGCAUGGUAGAGAUAAAAUGCCUUCAAAAAUGUUCAUUACAAAGAAUUAUACACUCUUAACUUACUAUCUGACCCAUAUCUGUCCAAAUUUUACCUAAUGGCAAAAGUUGGUGAUUUGAGGUAGACUGUUGCACACCAGCCUGUUGGGUAUGGCUGUGCAGAUAUUGAGCAGUUAAUAAACCCUUAUUGCAGUGAAUAGUAGCAAUCAGUCACUGAAUGAAAAAACAGUUUCAAACACUGUUGUCUUUCCAUCCAAAUGUAUCCUGUAGCCACUUAUGAAGUAACCUUUAUCUGUUGAAAUCGCAAGGGAUGGGCAACAUCUCAGCAGCAAUAACAUGAUGAUAGCCUGUUCUGCUUCAGUAUGUUGUAACUAGGGAUGAUAUAAUGAGAGUAGACUGUAUAUUAAUGACAAAUGACAUUGUUUUUAACAUGGCAUAGGUAUAUUUUUGGAAGCUCCCCUGCCUUUUAUCAAGAAUGGAGGUGAUGCUGUAUGUGAAUUGCAAGUUUGCCAAAAUUUUGCCUUUUGGCAUCACCUUGUUGAUAAUCCCUGUUGCAUAACUAUAAAGUGGCCUGGGAAUGUCUAAAAAUGUUUGAUUCUUAGUCCUUUGUGCUGACUUUGUGUGGAUGAGCUACUUCUCAUCCAUGUUUGAUCAAUGCUUUAUAAGAAUCCCUCCUGUGAGAAUUAGUCAUGGAAGUGUAUGAGAUUGUUUUAGGUUGAGUGGGAUUUGCAGUGUGUUACAGCUGGGUUUUUUUGGGGGGCUUGUAGAGAAGCACUUUGUGCACUGCAUAUUCAUUGUUCAAAUAGGAAAGGUUGCAAUCUCACACACACACAAACAUGUAAUUGUCUUGACAUUGUUUUUGACUCUCUAUUCUUUUCUGUUCUUAUGAUCAUCAUAGCUUUUAGACAGAUCUUUUGUAGUGGCAUUUGCUUGAUCACUUUGAGAUGGAACUUAUCUGGCCUUGUGGAGAUAAGGGUUGGUGUGCAGAAAACAUAAAAUAGUGAUCACAUUGGUACAGGGGUGUUUAUGUGAUGGUUAACAGCCUUUUGUUCUUUGUACCUUUGCAAUGGUUCAUCUAACCUAGUGACUUAAUUAUAAAAUUAUUAUUUGGAUGUUUCACUUAUUAUGAGUUUCUUUAGAAUGCAUAAGUUGCUUGUAUUUUAUAGAUAUUUUCAAUGCAUGUAUAUAAUUUUUCAGUGUUUUUUUUUUUCACCAUCAUACCAUUCUGGUUUCCUUCCUUGCCAACAAGGACUUAUCAGUUGCAUUUUUAGCAUUUGCGUGCUUUAAAAAAACUCUUAAUAAGUAUUCAUUUACAUUUUGUGUGAAGAUAUUCUCUUUGAAGGGAAUUUUCUUAACAUUCCAAACAGCCAAAUGUUAAACCCUGGAAAAGGUACCAGAGUGUGCAAGAGGUUCUUUUGUGAUGCAAUUUUGAAAAAAGUUCUUCCUGGCAUUUUGGCAACAUUUUCUUCUAAAGUAUGAAGUGCUGUUUCUUUGUAACUGGUGCCAUGGUUUUGAGACCAUUACUUUUUUAAAACUGUUUGAAUUCCAUUACAAGACUGUUGUUGUUCUGGGAGGGGAGCAUUUUUCUGAUGUGCAAGUUAAUGGUUUUCAUUAUGGUUUUCUCGAUCAUUGGCAUACCAUACAGGUAUUGUUUGAAAUACUGAUUUUAAUAUGGCUGGUGAAAAAAUGUGCCCCCUGAUUCAGUGGUAAUUCUGAAUUACAUUCAUUUCUUUGGCUAACUAGAUGUGGGCUAUUUGUAUAACCUCUAUGGACCAUACUUAAUGUGAUUACCAGUAAAUUCUACAGUUUCCUCUUUGCACCUCCUAGUUGUGCCAUAUGGUUAUUGUUUAUAAAACAUUUCUUUCCUGUUCCUUGUUGCCAGUUUUAUCUUGUUGGUAUUUUCCUUGGAAAGGGAUGGGGAGGGCUGAAGAUUUUGUACAUAAAAGCAUGUACCUGAGUUUCUUCACUAUGUUUGAAUAUUUCAGUUAUGUAGUAAAAUUAAAGGUUUUUGUUCAAGGAUGUACAUCUGGGUAUCUCUGCAGCAUGGAUAUUUUUGGUUUUUUUUAACAUCUGAUGCUGUUACUUUUUCCAUUGACAAAGUUUGGAGCUGGCUGCAAUACACUAAUGUAGCUUUAAUAUUAAUGCAGUAGUCAGCUCAUCAGCUUAUGAAAGAGUUCUUGUCUGCUGAUAAAUGCUCUUUCUGGCACAGUGGUCUAUACUGCUGAUAGGAGAGGAUAAUUAUUAAUUCACCAUGUAACUACAUCUUUGGCAAGUUCAGAAAUUGGUCACAUGAUCUUUUUGUGGGCUAUUGUCUAAAGCAUUUAUAGCUUAUAGUGAUCAAGAGGAAAGUACAAGUUUACUCUAGACCCAUACCAGUGAUCUUUUGAUCACCAUACUGGAUUGGGAUACCACUUUUGCGAUCACAUGAUGAUAAUAUUUAAUCUGAUGCAGACUAUUUUUAAAAGUUCAGGCAUCCUGAUCACUGGUGUUGCAGACGUUAACCUCAAGAUUUUAACAACCAAAAGUGACUUGCUUGAGGAAUAAAAAAUCCUGCAGAAAUAAAGCUUUGCAUGAGCUGAAAUCAGUCAAAGUUGGAAGUCCAGCAGUGAUGGAUGCUUCAGAAAAGUGAGCACAUAUUGCAGUCAUCUGUUUCCACUUAACAGACUACAAGAUGGGCAUGUCAUUGUGUAUUAACAAGUUAUUUUUUCUUCUUUUUUAAUGUUUUUCAUAAUUACAACAUAGUGGCAGGAAUAUACUACUAGCGAUUCGUAUUUAAUGUGUAAAUAAAUAGGUGUAGAUGAGUUGCAGAAAGGAGGCAGAAUAGUUGACUGAUUCAAAACAAGUGCCUCAUCUAGCCUGUGAUAAAGGAGUAAUAAAAUGCUAUGGGUCUGCCAAGCUGCCUUUAAGAUCUACACAAACUGUCCAUAUCUUUUGGAGUAUAUUGGGAGUUAGGCUGGAUAUGGUGAGGAACAAGAAAUUGCAGAUUGAGAUAGGAAAGAUUUCUAGUCCCCGUUAUGUUUAAUAUGAAUCUAAGCAGCCUCAAGUGGUAUUGCAUCUAGGAUAAAGUAUUAGUGUACAAAAUGCAACUAGAUUCUUUUUUAAAUCCUAAUUUGGUGCUUGACACAAAGAGAAGUUGUGUCUUUAGUAGAUGUGGGUUAGAUGAUAAAAGGUCAUCAAAGCAGUUGUGGUUUCUAAUGGUUCCGCUUCAUGUUCAAUAAAUAUUUUCUACACCUCUU